GCCUACGGGGAGCAGCAGUGGGGAAUAUUGCACAAUGGGGGAAACCCUGAUGCAGCGACGCCGCGUGAGUGAAGAAGUAUUUCGGUAUGUAAAGCUCUAUCAGCAGGGAAGAUAAUGACGGUACCUGACUAAGAAGCUCCGGCUAAAUACGUGCCAGCAGCCGCGGUAAUACGUAGGGGGCAAGCGUUAUCCGGAUUUACUGGGUAUAAAGGGAGCGUAGACGGGGCAGCAAGUCUGAUGUGAAAGGUCGGGGCCCAACCCCGGGACUGCAUUGGAAACUGUUGAACUGGAGUACAGGAGAGGUA
rnacentral:rRNA from 1 species